UUGGCUAAACAGUGAAAGGGACAUUAUAGUCACCUGAACAACUUUAGCUUAAUGAAGCAGUUUUGGUGUAUAGAACAUGCCCCUGCGGCCUCACUGCUCAAUCCUCUGCCAUUUAGGAGUUAAAUCCCUUUGUUUAUGAACCCUAGUCACACCUCCCUGCAUGUGACUUGCACAGCCCUCCAUAAACACUUCCUGUAAAGAGAGCCCUAUUUAGGCUUUCUUUAUUGCAAGUUCUGUUUAAUUAAGAUUUUCUUAUCCCCUGCUAUGUUAAUAGCUUGCUAGACCCUGCAAGAGCCUCCUGUAUGUGAUUAAAGUUCAAUUUAGAGAUUGAGAUACAAUUAUUUAAGGUAAAUUACAUCUGUUUGAAAGUGAAACCAGUUUUUUUUCAUGCAGGCUCUGUCAGUCAUAGCUAGGGGAGGUGUGGCUAGGGCUGCAUAAACAGAAACAAAGUGAUUUAACUCCUAAAUGACAGUG
rnacentral:lncRNA from 1 species